rnacentral:tRNA from 1 species
GGGCCUGUAGCUCAGCUGGUCAGAGCGCCUGGUUUACACCCAGGAGGUCGUCGGUUCGAACCCGGCCGGGCCCACCA